ACGUCCACUUAACUUGGAGUCCGAACUCUCACUUUCUAACCCUGUGCACUUGUUUGGGAUAGUAACUCUCGCAAGAGAGCGAACUCCUAUUCACUUAUAAACACAAAGUCUAUGAAUGUAUUAAAUUUUAUAACAAAAUAAAACUUUCAACAACGGAUCUCUUGGCUCUCGCAUCGAUGAAGAACGCAGCAAAGGAUCAUUAGUGAAUAUAGG
rnacentral:misc_RNA from 1 species